AUUGAACGCUGGCGGCAGGCUUAACACAUGCAAGUCGAGCGGGGUGAUGGUGCUUGCACUAUCACUUAGCGGCGGACGGGUGAGUAAUGCUUAGGAAUCUGCCUAUUAGUGGGGGACAACAUCUCGAAAGGGAUGCUAAUACCGCAUACGUCCUACGGGAGAAAGCAGGGGAUCACUUGUGACCUUGCGCUAAUAGAUGAGCCUAAGUCGGAUUAGCUAGUUGGGGGGGUAAAGGCCUACCAAGGCGACGAUCUGUAGCGGGUCUGAGAGGAGGGUCCGCCACAAUGGGACUGAGACACGGGCCAGACUCGUCAGGGAGGCAGCGGUGGGGAAUAUUGGACAAUGGGGGGAACCCUGAUCCGGCCAUGCCGGGUGUGUGAAGAAGGCCUUAUGGUUGUAAAGCACGUUAAGCGAGGAGGAGGCUCUUUUGGUUAAUACCCAAGAUGAGUGGACGUUACUCGCAGAAUAAGCACCGGCUAACUCUGUGCCAGCCGCCGCCGUAA
rnacentral:rRNA from 1 species